UCCGACCACAUUUUUAAGAACGAAAUUUUGGAGGGGUUCAAAUGGGGCUCAAGUUAAAGUUUUCAUCCAUGUGGUGGAAACACCACUGAAAGACAAGGAACAAGCCAGGGUUCAGGCUGACCUCCAGAGGUGUCGUAAUGACCUUGAUUACUUAAAGGUGCAAUCAUGUCGCCCACAUUCAAGCACAUUGUUGGGAGAUUGAAACGAAAUUCCAAAUGCCUCAUCAUUGCGUUGCAAUUUCGGAUACAUUUUGCUACACUUUCGACAUGUGUUGCUAAACAAGGGCAAUCAUUAGAGUACGUGAUUUGCUCUACUAAUGUCCGAAUCUUUUUUUGACAUGUUACGUGUAUUAUGCCCCAAAAAGCAUGUUUUUAUUAUUCUACCGCUCUUUCUACCUGUAUAUUUGUAAGAUUAAUAAGAAAUUAAGAUUAAAGAGGAAUAACAAACGUUUCAUGAUAAUAAUUCGACUUGCCUGAAGCGAGAUUUAACGAAAUAUCUUUGUCCCAUUUCCACCAGCGUCAGCUGAUCUGAAAACAUGCUCAUGCGGUACAGCUCCUGUUGAACCUAAGCAUUCUAGUUAUGGUUUUCUAUGGUGUUGACACACACUGCUCUUGGUCGUUAGUUACAACUAGGGACCCUGGAGUUACAACUACCAAGGACGACGUUAUCACCGUACAUAGACGCUAUCGCGACCGAGGACCAAAAGGAGCGGUAUAAAUCUGAACGCAAUCCCGAGUUCGAGGUUCAGUCGCGUUCGAGAAACUGCACAAGAAGGAGCCGAGUUCUCCAGAGGAUCCAUCACUUUCAGCAUGAGACACUGGGCUGUAAUAGGCUUGACCGUGAGUUGUCUCGUUUUGUUGGGCUCGUCCAGAUCGGUUGAGGCCAUCCCUCUUUCCAAGUACCUGGACAACCUGGAACUGGACUACGACCGUGGCGAGAAACUGUUGUUGUCCAUUCUGGCCUUGGAGCAGAACCUAAAGAGCGAAGCACAGGUCUUGGAGCACAUUCUCUCCGAGAUUGGACAAGGAAUGCCACCGAUGGCUUCCAAGGGUGACGAGAUCCGGAUGACCCGGAAGCGGGCGGAAAUGAUGGGGCACCACAACUAGAGGCCACGAACAGAACAGAAUUUGAACCGCAUCGAACAGCUCUUAGAUCAGACAGAAUGAAGAAGAUCGGUGGAUAAAGCCAGGAGAACCAAUCUUCGGUACAAGAAUUCCACCUCAGCUACUCUCUCGUGUUUGCCAUCUUUUUAUAUCUUAUAUCCGUCUCCGUGUAUGAUGUAAAGUACAUUUUGUCUCAUGAACUCUGCAACAGUUUAAGGCCAAUCUUUGGGUCUUGUUCAACAAUCUUUACCCAGGAAAAGAUGUUUCAGUCAUUAUCUUUAAUGGAAUAAAAACGCUCUUUCUUAACAAAACGAAAGCAAAAA